UACGAAGGGGGCUAGCGUUGCUCGGAAUUACUGGGCGUAAAGGGAGCGUAGGCGGGUUAUCAAGUUGGAGGUGAAAGCCCAGGGCUCAACCUUGGAAUUGCCUUCAAAACUGAUAGCCUAGAGUAUGAUAGAGGUAAGUGGAACUCCGAGUGUAGAGGUGAAAUUCGUAGAUAUUCGGAAGAACACCAGUGGCGAAGGCGACUUACUGGAUCAUGACUGACGCUGAGGCUCGAAAAGCGUGGGGGAGCAAACAGG
rnacentral:rRNA from 1 species